rnacentral:RNase_P_RNA from 1 species
GUGGGUUGGACGGCCGCGGGGAGAGAAAUCCCUUCGAGGAAAGUCCGGACACCACAGGGCAAGACGGUGGGCAACUCCCACUCGGGGAAACCCGCAGGAAAGUGCCACAGAAACAUACGGCCGAUGGCGCGACCACACGUGAGUCGCGUACAGGCAAAGGUGAAAGGGUGCGGUAAGAGCGCACCGGCGUCGCGGUGACGCGGCGGCCAGGCAAACCCCGUCCGGUGCAAGACCAAACAGGAUCGUCGACCCGGCCCGGCGAGAUCCAGGUAGGUCGCAGGUGUGCCCGGUUUCGGCCAGGCCCCCGCCGGCGUGAUCAGCCGGUGAGACAGAUGGUCGUUCACGACAGGAUCCGGCUUACAGACCCACUAAG